GUCUCCCAACGCGAUGCGACGGUCGUCGACCGCCUGCAUCACGGCCGCGGCCAC
rnacentral:sRNA from 1 species